CCGACAUCAAGCACUGAGAUUUACCAGCCACACCUAAUUCUGGGAAAGGCCAAAUGAGAAAGGCAUGUCUCUCACACAUGACGCCUCUCUUUAUGUUCUGUACCUGGUGUGUUAGUUUCCUGUGCCUGCCCUAACAAAGCACCACAAACCAGGUCUUUGAGGAAUCACCACACUGUCUUCCACAAUGGUUGAACUAAUUUACUUUCCCACCAACGGUGUAAAAAGGUGAGAAGAACUCUUAAAGGGGUCCAACUGGGCUGAACAAUCUGUAGCCAGAUCACCUAAACCUGCCCCUUGAAUGGUGGUAGGAAAGAGGGAAGAAGUGAACAAGGGGCAGCACAGGGGAACAUGAGCUCAUGCCCCAUUUUUGGAUGCCGUUGGAAAAGAAAGCCAAAUAGCAAGAGGGAGGGGAUGUAAAAUCUUGAUAAAAGAUCUCCAGCUGCAUGGUGCUUUUCAUCAACAAAUGGAUCUGAGGUGCAAUUAGUAAAUGUGAAAGGAUCUCUCAGGACAGCCACAAAAGGGGUUGCUAAGUUUGGAAGCUUCUCUGAGUACCUCGCACAUGGGGAAAAAGAAAUCCUUCCAUUCUCUAAACUAGCUUGAGUUGAUUUAUAUCACAGCAUCUCCAAGAGCAUAGAUCUUCUGCUACACGACAGGGCCAGGGCCAGGACACCACUUUCAGCUCCAGGCAAUUGCACUGAGGACUCAGUGACACAACCGUGUGAAGUGCCUGCUUCCCCUUCGCCUUCUGCCAUGAUUGGAAGCUUCCUGAGGCCUCUACAGAAGCAGAAGCCGCUAUGCUUCCUGUACAGCUUGCAGAACUAUGAGCCAAUUAAACCUCUUUUCUUUAUUAAUUACCCAGUCUCAGGUAUUUCUUUAGAGCAGUGUGAGAAUGGAUUAAUACACCCAUUCUAAGCCA
rnacentral:lncRNA from 10 species